rnacentral:rRNA from 1 species
CAAAUCAGGUAGGACUACCCGCUGAACUUAAGCAUAUCAAUAAGCGGAG